GACGUAGGGUCCAAGCGUUGUCCGGAUUUACUGGGCGUAAAGAGCGCGUAGGCGGCUCGGUAAGUGUGAAGUGAAAUCUCCAGGGCUCAACCCGGAAACUGCUUUACAUACUGUCGAGCUGGAGUGAUGAGGAGGUUUGUGGAAUUCCUGGUGUAGCGGUGAAAUGCGUUGAUAUCAGGAGGAACACCCAUGGCGAAGGCAGCAAACUGGUCAUCAACUGACGCUGAGGCGCGAAAGCGUGGGUAGCAAACAGG
rnacentral:rRNA from 1 species